UCCCACAUGGUCUAGUGGUUAGGAUUCGAGGUUUUCACCCUCGCGGCCCGGGUUCGAUUCCCGGUGUGGGAA